AGUGAACGCUGGCGGUAGGCCUAACACAUGCAAGUCGAACGGCAGCACAGUAAGAGCUUGCUCUUACGGGUGGCGAGUGGCGGACGGGUGAGGAAUACAUCGGAAUCUACUUUUUCGUGGGGGAUAACGUAGGGAAACUUACGCUAAUACCGCAUACGACCUACGGGUGAAAGCAGGGGAUCUUCGGACCUUGCGCGAUUGAAUUAGCCGAUGUCGGAUUAGCUAGUUGGCGGGGUAAAGGCCCACCAAGGCGACGAUCCGUAGCUGGUCUGAGAGGAUGAUCAGCCACACUGGAACUGAGACACGGUCCAGACUCCUACGGGAGGCAGCAGUGGGGAAUAUUGGACAAUGGGCGCAAGCCUGAUCCAGCCAUACCGCGUGGGUGAAGAAGGCCUUCGGGUUGUAAAGCCCUUUUGUCGGGAAAGAAAAGCAGCAGGUUAAUACCCCGCUGUUCUGACGGUACCCAAAGAAUAAGCACCGGCUAACUUCGUG
rnacentral:rRNA from 1 species